rnacentral:rRNA from 1 species
UACGUAGGUGGCAAGCGUUGUCCGGAAUUAUUGGGCGUAAAGCGCGCGCAGGCGGUCCUUUAAGUCUGAUGUGAAAGCCCACGGCUCAACCGUGGAGGGUCAUUGGAAACUGGGGGACUUGAGUACAGAAGAGGAAAGCGGAAUUCCACGUGUAGCGGUGAAAUGCGUAGAGAUCUGGAGGAACACCGGUGGCGAAGGCGGCAUCCUGGACCAACACUGACGCUGAGGAGCGAAAGCCAGGGGAGCAAACGGG